UGUGCCUGGAUGUGGAUUACCCACCUUCAUCACCAUUAUGGGUCUGCCUCAUCAAUGGUGGUUUGUGUUUGUUUCUGGUUACCAUCACCAGACCUGCUUCAACAUGAUAAAUGUCCUUGACACUGUUCCUGCCCAUGCAGUCAGGCUUCAGAAGUAGGUCAGGAGCAUCUACCUUCACUUCAGGAUAUGACUGAACCUCUGGAAAAGAGCAGCUACAGCCUGAGAAAAGGAGCCAAAGAGAAGCACAUGCAUAUUUUAGACACCAGGGACUGAGGCAUUGCAUCCUCAGUUCUACUUCUGCUGUCUCAGGGAAAAAUACAGUCAUUUUGGCAGAUCUAUCUCAAAAAGAAACUAGGAGAAAAACUGGAGGCUGGGUGAAAAAUGAAGUGAGUCAAAAAUUUCAACAACAUUGUGAUUUUUUUCAAAUUACAAUUAUUGUAAUUUUUAAUUUUGUUUAAUCACUGCAGUUGGGUCUUGGAGACCUGGGUAAUGUGCCUGACUUGCUUCCUAGUGCUGCAGCCUUGGGGAAGUAAUUUGAAAAUGUGAUGUCACUGUUGAACAGCCUGCAAAACUGAGAUGGUAAUGCUGAUCUCCCUGAUGAAACUUCUCAAGAUGGGAGGAAAAAUACUAUGAAUGUUCAGCACAAGUAGCUUUACUUAUUAAACAACAAUGUGUCCUGAAAAUGCUUUUAGAGCAAAACAUAAUUGAAAAGUGAGGGAGCAUUUUUGAUAUUAACAAUAUUUCCAUAAAUUUUUUCAACUUAUAGCCUUUUAAAAUCAGCUUUUGUUAGAGCAGACAAAACUGACAAAUAAUCUUAAAAUUCUGGUAACCAGCAUCUUUACCAGAAUUCCAAUUCCUGAGAUGAUAGAUACUGUUUAAGACAAACUGAGGACACAGAAGCUGCAAUUUUUAUACGAAAAUGAAGGGGCUGCCUGAAGCUCUGCACAAUUUCUACUGCUUCAUAUAAAAGACUGUGAAAGUGGCUCUGUCGCAUUGCCACCUGGUGGCACCGGAGGGAAAGUGUCAACACGGAGCUUCUCGGAAUUAACCUGCCUGCUGCUACCUCUGAGACUGCGAAGCAGGUCACGUCUAGCUGGGCAGGGUGUAAAAUAGUUGGACUUUAUGUUGUAUAUUAAACAGGUAGAUGAGAGAGGAAGAACUCCAAAUAUUUCUUGCAAGAAUGUAUAGGGAAAGGCCGACUUUUAAAUUUGUGUUUGUCUUAA